UACGGGGGGGGGCAAGCGUUGUUCGGAAUUACUGGGCGUAAAGGGCUCGUAGGCGGCCAACUAAGUCAGACGUGAAAUCCCUCGGCUUAACCGGGGAACUGCAUCUGAUACUGGAUGGCUUGAGUUCGGGAGAGGGAUGCGGAAUUCCAGGUGUAGCGGUGAAAUGCGUAGAUAUCUGGAGGAACACCGGUGGCGAAGGCGGCAUCCUGGACCGGUAUUGACGCUGAGGAGCGAAAGCCAGGGGAGCAAAGCGGG
rnacentral:rRNA from 1 species